rnacentral:rRNA from 1 species
AACGAACGCUGGCGGCAGGCUUAACACAUGCAAGUCGAACGCCCCGCAAGGGGAGUGGCAGACGGGUGAGUAACGCGUGGGAACAUACCCUUUUCUACGGAAUAGCUCUGGGAAACUGGAAUUAAUACCGUAUACGCCCUACGGGGGAAAGAUUUAUCUGGGAAGGAUUGGCCCGCGUUGGAUUAGCUAGUUGGUGGGGUAAAGGCCUACCAAGGCGACGAUCCAUAGCUGGUCUGAGAGGAUGAUCAGCCACAUUGGGACUGAGACACGGCCCAAACUCCUACGCGAGGCAGCAGUGGGGAAUAUUGGACAAUGGGCGCAAGCCUGAUCCAGCCAUGCCGCGUGAGUGAUGAAGGCCUUAGGGUUGUAAAGCUCUUUCACCGAUGAAGAUAAUGACGGUAGUCGGAGAAGAAGCCCCGGCUAACUUCGUG